AGAUUGAACGCUAGCGGGAUGCUUUACACAUGCAAGUCGAACGGCAGCGCGGACUUCGGUCUGGCGGCGAGUGGCGAACGGGUGAGUAAUAUAUCGGAACGUGCCCAGUAGCGGGGGAUAACUACGCGAAAGCGUGGCUAAUACCGCAUACGCCCUACGGGGGAAAGGGGGGAUCGCAAGACCUCUCACUAUUGGAGCGGCCGAUAUCAGAUUAGCUAGUUGGUGAGGUAAAGGCUCACCAAGGCGACGAUCUGUAGCUGGUUUGAGAGGACGACCAGCCACACUGGGACUGAGACACGGCCCAGACUCCGUACGGGAGGCAGCGAGUGGGGAAUUUGGACUAAGUGGGGGAAACCCUGAUCCAGCCAUCCCGCGUGUGCGAUAGAACGGUCCUUCGGGUUAGUAAAGUCGUACGUUUGGACGAGGAACGAAACGGUCGUUACGUAACGUUAA
rnacentral:rRNA from 1 species